AGCUUUGCGCAGUGGCAGUAUCGUAGCCAGUGAGGUUUAUCCGAGGCGCGAUUGUUGCUAACCGGAAACUUUUCCCGAUGACUGCUAACUGAAGCGGGUAUACACUUCCUUCCUAAUCACCUGGGCUCACAAGUGA
rnacentral:snRNA from 1 species